UGGGGGUGUUUUUCAGCAGCAGGGACUGGGAGACUAGUAUUCUGGCUAGUGACACUGUCACUGAUCGUAUGCUCCCUCUCAUCGGGAGCAGUUAUCAGUGACGUGUCACUCGUAGCCACGCCCCCCUGACAGUUAGAAUCACUCCUUAGGACACACUUAACCCCUUCAGCGCUACCUAUCACCUGCCCAAUACCAUUCCAACAGUGAAGCAUGGUGAUGGCAGCAUCAUGCUGUGGGGGUGUUUUUCAGCAGCAGGGACUGGUAGACUAGUAAGGGUUGAAGGAAUGGAGCAAUGUACAGAGAUAUCCUCAAUGAAAACCUGUUCCACAUCUCUAAGGACCUUAGACUGUAAUGAAGGUUCACAUUCCAACAUGAGAAUGAUUCUAAGCACACAGCUAAGCAAUCCAGGUGUGCAAAGCUUGUGUCAAACCCCAAAAAGACUCAAGGCUGCAAUUGCUGCCAAAGGUGAUUCAACAAAGUACUGAAUAAAGGGUCUGAAUACUUAAAGCGGAGCUUUACCCUAAUAGCAUGUAUAUCUGACCAACUCCCUUAUAUUCGUAACAAGUACUGUCCGCAAUUAGUUUUUUUUUUAUGCUGUACGUACCUUGUUAUCCAUGUUUUUCAAUUUACUUCUCCCCGCGGGAGUAGGCGUUUCUAUGAAAAGUGGGUGGUCUAUUGCGCUACUGUGAGUGUUGAAAUGUGAGCCAAGUAGAUGUAUGUUGUAUAAUAAAUGGAGACCAAUUAUUAAGUGAAUACGUGAAAAAAGAAGAAUAAAUAUUAAAGCUGCUUAA